rnacentral:tRNA from 1 species
UUUUGAUAGUGUGUUUUUGUAAAUAGGUUGGAAACCUAUAAGAAUAGUUUUUGGCUAUAUCAAAGU